GCUCAUACGGGUUUGUGCAUAAUGAGAUCUUUCAUGUAUAUGUUGGUUUCUCCACAGAUGCACACAUCUGAAGCUCUCAGAGGAUGAGGAGGAGGAGGAAAGCUCAGGUGAUUCGACCGCAGCUCCUCCAGGACAUGUUUUGAGCACCAUUUAAGAGCACUACAUUGACAACAUGAUGAUCUGAUCAUCAUCUACUUCUGAGACUGAUCUGAGAUCUGGACCCUGAUGAUCACAAACGCUGCUGUUGAUCAUUAUUUUCUCAGACGGCAGCUGAUUGGGACGCAGUGGGAGCGUGAACAGGGCAAUGAAUGCAGUCAAGAGCAGUGAACAGACUCCAGAUCAUGAGUCCAGCAUGAGGAAGCCUGACCUUCAUCCCUGCUCAAACACAGAGCACAAGAACGGCUCAUUUGUCAUUGAUCUGAGGAACAGGCUGACUGACGUCAUGAUCAAAGCGAGACUCGAGCGCUCAUGACAGCAGUGAGCACAACAUCAGCACCGGAUUCCAAACACUCUCAAAUCAACAUUCUUUCCUCCACACUAUAUUUCAUAACCUGCGGCGGCAAAACUCUUCACUCUGCUGCUUCAUGCAAACAAUUAGAGGAGAGGAAGUGAAUGAGGAACUUAGGUCAGUUCCUAUCAAACACACCACCAAUCACACCGCAACGUCUGGACACACAUGACUGCAUUUGUUUCUGAAAAAGAGAAAAAAACUUUUGAAGUUGCUCGUAAUUACUCUACUCACCACCGAUUAGGCUUUCUUUAAUGAAUGAGUUGGAGCAGAUUGCUUUGCUUUUAUUUGUUUAGCAUUUUUGUCAUUUACCAUUUUUAGACAUCAUGAUCAGAUUAUUGUAUCUUAUUAUAAAUUAUAAAAUAAAAUGUAUAAGUUAUUUAAAUAAUAAAAGAAA
ensembl:lncRNA